rnacentral:rRNA from 1 species
CCUACGGGCGGCUGCAGUGAGGAAUAUUUGUCAAUGGGCGCGAGCCUGAACCAGCCAAGUAGCGUGAAGGAUGACUGCCCUCCGGUUUGUAAGCUUCUUUUAUAAAGGAGUAAAGUGAGGCCCGUGUGCCUUUUUGUAUGUACUUUAUGAUUCAGGCUCGGCUAACUCCGUGCCAGCAGCCGCGGUAAUCCGGAGGAUCCGAGCGUUAUCCGGAUUUAUUGGGUGUAAAGGGAGCGUAGGGGGGUUGUUAAGUCAGUUGUGAAAGGUUGCGGCUCAACCGUAAAAUUGCAAUUGAUACUGGCAGGCUUGAGUACAGUUGAGGUAGGCGGAAUUCGUGGUGUAGCGGUGAAAUGCUUAGAUAUCACGAAGAACUCCGAUUGCGAAGGCAGCCUACU